AAUGGGGGAAACCCUGAUGCAGCGAUGCCGCGUGAGUGAAGAAGGCCCUUGGGUUGUAAAACUCUUUCGUCGGGGAAGAAAAUGACUGUACCCGAAUAAGAAGGUCCGGCUAACUUCGUGCCAGCAGCCGCGGUAAUACGAAGGGACCUAGCGUAGUUCGGAAUUACUGGGCUUAAAGAGCUCGUAGGUGGUUAAAAAAGUUGAUGGUGAAAUCCCAAGGCUCAACCUUGGAACUGCCAUCAAAACUUUUUAGCUAGAGUGUGAUAGAGGUAAGUGGAAUUUCUAGUGUAGAGGUGAAAUUCGUAGAUAUUAGAAAGAACACCAAAUGCGAAGGCAACUUACUGGGUCACUACUGACACUGAGAAGCGAAAGCAUGGGUAGCGAAGAGGAUU
rnacentral:rRNA from 1 species